UGCAGGGGUGCCUGUUUUUAACUGACUGGUCACGUGAUGAAUAAAACCAAAUCACCAUCUUUCGGCUGAUCUUGCU
rnacentral:snoRNA from 1 species